UACGUAGGGGCCUAGCGUUGUCCGGAAUUAUUGGGCGUAAAGAUCUCGUAGGCGGUUCGGCAAGUCGGAUGUGAAAUCUCCACGCUCAACGUGGAGGGGCCAUUCGAAACUGCCGUGACUCGAGUCCGGUAGGGGAGUGUGGAAUUCCCGGUGUAGCGGUGAAAUGCGCAGAUAUCGGGAGGAACACCAGUAGCGAAGGCGGCACUCUGGGCCGGUACUGACGCUGAGGAGCGAAAGCGUGGGGAGCGAACAGG
rnacentral:rRNA from 1 species